UUCAUCCGACCGGGAGAGCGCAACCGCAUGGCGGUGGCCGCCGAAGGCGCAAUACCCAGAAACUCUCAGGCAAAAGGACCGGUCGGGCGGA
rnacentral:ncRNA from 2 species